rnacentral:rRNA from 1 species
CCUACGAGAGGCUGCAGUGGGGAAUAUUGCACAAUGGGGGAAACCCUGAUGCAGCAACGCCGCGUGAAGGACGACGGUUUUCGGAUUGUAAACUUCUUUUCUUAGUGAAGAAUAAUGACGGUAGCUAAGGAGCAAGCCCCGGCUAACUACGUGCCAGCAGCCGCGGUAAUACGUGGGUGGCAAGCGUUGUCCGGAAUUACUGGGUGUAAAGGGAGCGCAGGCGGGAAGACAAGUCAGAUGUGAAAACUACGGGCUUAACUUGUAGACUGCAGCUAAAAAUGGUUUUCUUGAGUGAAGUAGAGGUUGGCGGAAUUCCUAGUGUAGCGGUGAAAUGCGUAGAUAUUCGGAGGAACACCGGUGGCGAAGGCGGCCACCUGGGCUUUAACUGACGCUGAGGCUCGAAAGUGUGGGGAGCAAACAGGAUUAGAUACCCCUGUAGUC